GGCUGGCUACUCCAUGUGCUUCUGGAAAACACCAGCUAAUGCCACUGUGACUAUAGAAUCACUAUGGAAUGCUGCUGAUACUGUGCUAUACUGGAAGGUGCAGCCAGGAAAUGCUGCUGAUACUGUGCUAUACUGGAAGGUGCAGCCAGGAAAUGCUGCUGAUACUGUGCUAUACUGGAAGGUGCAGCCAGGAAAUGCUGCUGAUACUGUGCUAUACUGGAAGGUGCAGCCAGGAAAUGCUGCUGAUACUGUGCUAUACUGGAAGGUGCUGCCAGGAAAUGCUGCUGAUACUGUGCUAUACUGGAAGGUACAGCCAGGAAAUGCUGCUGAUACUGUGCUGUACUGGAAGGUGCUGCCAGGAAAUGCUGCUGAUACUGUGCUAUACUGAAAGGUGCUGCCAGGAAAUGCUGCUGAUAUUGUGCUGUACUGGGAGGUGCAGCCAUGGAAUGUUGCUGAUAUUGUGCUAUACUGGA